UACAGAGGGGGCAAGCGUUGUUCGGAAUUACUGGGCGUCACGGGCGCGUAGGCGGCCCGCUAAGUCGAACGUGAAAUCCCCGGGCUCAACCCGGGAACUGCGUCCGAUACUGGUGGGCUCGAAUCCGGGAGAGGGAUGCGGAAUUCCAGGUGUAGCGGUGAAAUGCGUAGAUAUCUGGAGGAACAUCAGUGGCGAAAGCGGCUUCCUGGACCAGAACUGACGAUCAGGCACGAAAGCGUGGGGAGCAAACAGG
rnacentral:rRNA from 1 species